AGCGAACGCUGGCGGCAGGCUUAACACAUGCAAGUCGAACGCACCGCAAGGUGAGUGGCAGACGGGUGAGUAACACGUGGGAACGUGCCCUUCGGUUCGGAAUAACUCAGGGAAACUUGAGCUAAUACCGGAUACGCCCUUACGGGGAAAGGUUUACUGCCGAAGGAUCGGCCCGCGUCUGAUUAGCUAGUUGGUGAGGUAAUGGCUCACCAAGGCGACGAUCAGUAGCUGGUCUGAGAGGAUGAUCAGCCACACUGGGACUGAGACACGGCCCAGACUCCUACGGGAGGCAGCAGUGGGGAAUAUUGGACAAUGGGCGAAAGCCUGAUCCAGCCAUGCCGCGUGAGUGAUGAAGGCCUUAGGGUUGUAAAGCUCUUUUGUCCGGGAAGAUAAUGACUGUACCGGAAGAAUAAGCCCCGGCUAACUUCGUGCCAGCCGCCGCCGUAAAAC
rnacentral:rRNA from 1 species